AUUCGAUGCAACGCGAAGAACCUUACCUGGUCUUGACAUCCACGGAAGUUUUCAGAGAUGAGAAUGUGCCUUCGGGAACCGUGAGACAGGUGCUGCAUGGCUGUCGUCAGCUCGUGUUGUGAAAUGUUGGGUUAAGUCCCGCAACGAGCGCAACCCUUAUCCUUUGUUGCCAGCGGUCCGGCCGGGAACUCAAAGGAGACUGCCAGUGAUAAACUGGAGGAAGGUGGGGAUGACGUCAAGUCAUCAUGGCCCUUACGACCAGGGCUACACACGUGCUACAAUGGCGCAUACAAAGAGAAGCGACCUCGCGAGAGCAAGCGGACCUCAUAAAGUGCGUCGUAGUCCGGAUUGGAGUCUGCAACUCGACUCCAUGAAGUCGGAAUCGCUAGUAAUCGUGGAUCAGAAUGCCACGGUGAAUACGUUCCCGGGCCUUGUACACACCGCCCGUCACACCAUGGGAGUGGGUUGCAAAAGAAGUAGGUAGCUUAACCU
rnacentral:rRNA from 1 species